UUGACCUCGGAUCAGGUAGGAAGACCCGCUGAACUUA
rnacentral:rRNA from 1 species